rnacentral:tRNA from 2 species
AUGACGGUGAGUUUAUAUAGUCUUACUCUUAUUCCAGGGGAGUGGUUCACUGCGUCAUA